CAUUUACAUAAAAAAUCGAGAGGAUUUUAAAAAGAAAGUAGCAAGUUUUAAAAAAAAAAAUCAAAAAAUAUGAAAAAAAUGAAAAAGAAAAUUUCAAAAUCAAAGGCUGGAAGUUUAAAACAAAAAAACUAGAGUUGUAGCUCAAAAUGAAAUCUAAACAUCCUCCAUCAAAUUCCUCGCUGCAUUCCAAUCAACAGUUGCAACUCAAAACCCCCAAUAGUUGAAUUUAUAUAGGUUUUUGAAUCACGAAUUUGAUAUUGAGCUUUUACUUCAAAUUACAAGAAUAAAGACCUGAACCUAUAAAGGUGGGAAUAUACAUCUUCAACAAAUCUACAGUGUAUUUAAAAUUUCACCUCCUUGAUAGAUAUUUCACAUUCAUCCUUAAACAAUCUUGCUUUCUCAUUCAUAAAUCUAACCCAUUCAUGAAUCUAAACUUGAUCA
rnacentral:misc_RNA from 1 species